ACUCCUACGGGAGGCAGCAGUAAGGAAUAUUGGACAAUGGGCGAAAGCCUGAUCCAGCCAUCCCGCGUGCAGGAUGACGGCCCUAUGGGGUUGUAAACUGUCUUUUGUUUGAGAAGAAACGCCUGGAUUUAUCCGGGCCUGACGGUAUCUUACGAAUAAGCACCGGCUAACUCCGUGCCAGCAGCCGCGGUAAUACGGAGGGUGCAAGCGUUAUCCGGAAUCACUGGGUUUAAAGGGUGAGCAGGCGGAUAAAUAAGUCAGAGGUGAAAUCUUGCAGCUUAACUGUAAAACUGCCUUUGAUACUGUUUAUCUUGAAUUAGGUUGAGGUCAGCGGAAUGUGACAUGUAGCGGUGAAAUGCGGAGAUAUGUCAUAGAACACCAAUUGCGAAGGCAGCUGACUGGGCCUUAAUUGACGCUGAGUCACGAAA
rnacentral:rRNA from 1 species